ACGACCUUACUUGAACAUGAUCUGUUUUAUAAGCUCGUACCGCUGCAUCCUUUAUGAAUAAGGAGGCAAGAACUAUCACUGCAGUUU
rnacentral:snoRNA from 9 species